rnacentral:rRNA from 1 species
AGAGUUUGAUCCUGGCUCAGGAUGAACGCUAGCGGCAGGCUUAACACAUGCAAGUCGAGGGGCAGCGCGAGGUAGCAAUACUUUGGCGGCGACCGGCGGAAGGGUGCGUAACGCGUGAGCAACAUGCCCGUCACAGGGGGAUAAUCCAUGGAAACGUGGUCUAACACCGCAUAGAUUAUAGAGGUGACAUCACCAUUAUAAGAAAUUCGCAAGAAGGUGACGGAUUGGCUCGCGUAACAUUAGCCAGUUGGUAGGGUAACGGCCUACCAAAGCGACGAUGUUUAGGGGUCCUGAGAGGGAGGUCCCCCACACUGGAACUGAGACACGGUCCAGACUCCUACGGGAGGCAGCAGUGAGGAAUAUUGGACAAUGGAUGGAAAUCUGAUCCAGCCAUGCCGCGUGCGGGAUGACGGCCCUAUGGGUUGUAAACCGCUUUUGCAGGGGAGCAAUAAGGUCCACGCGUGGACCGACGAGAGUACUCUGUGAAUAAGCAUCGGCUAACUCCGUGCCAGCAGCCGCGGUAAU